GUAGGUGGCAAGCGUUGUCCGGAAUUAUUGGGCGUAAAGCGCGCGCAGGCGGUCCUUCAAGUCUGAUGUGAAAGCCCACGGGCUCAACCGUGGAGGGUCAUUGGAAACUGGGGGACUUGAGUACAGAAGAGGAAAGCGGAAUUCCACGUGUAGCGGUGAAAUGCGUAGAGAUGUGGAGGAACACCAGUGGCGAAGGCGGCUUUCUGGUCUGUAACUGACGCUGAGGCGCGAAAGCGUGGGAGCAAACAGGAUUAGAUACCCUGGUAGUCCACGCCGUAAACGAUGAGUGCUAAGUGUUAGGGGGUUUCCGCCCCUUAGUGCUGCAGCUAACGCAUUAAGCACUCCGCCUGGGGAGUACGGCCGCAAGGCUG
rnacentral:rRNA from 1 species